rnacentral:rRNA from 1 species
GAUGAACGCUGGCGGCGUGCCUAAUACAUGCAAGUCGAGCGAACAGACGAGGAGCUUGCUCCUCUGACGUUAGCGGCGGACGGGUGAGUAACACGUGGAUAACCUACCUAUAAGACUGGGAUAACUUCGGGAAACCGGAGCUAAUACCGGAUAAUAUUUUGAACCGCAUGGUUCAAUAGUGAAAGACGGUUUUGCUGUCACUUAUAGAUGGAUCCGCGCUGCAUUAGCUAGUUGGUAAGGUAACGGCUUACCAAGGCGACGAUGCAUAGCCGACCUGAGAGGGUGAUCGGCCACACUGGAACUGAGACACGGUCCAGACUCCUACGGGAGGCAGCAGUAGGGAAUCUUCCGCAAUGGGCGAAAGCCUGACGGAGCAACGCCGCGUGAGUGAUGAAGGUCUUCGGAUCGUAAAACUCUGUUAUUAGGGAAGAACAAAUGUGUAAGUAACUAUGCACGUCUUGACGGUACCUAAUCAGAAAGCCACGGCUAACUACGUG